rnacentral:rRNA from 1 species
AGAUUGAACGCUGGCGGCAUGCUUUACACAUGCAAGUCGAGCGGCAGCGCGGGGGCAACCCUGGCGGCGAGCGGCGAACGGGUGAGUAAUGCAUCGGAACGUGUCCCGUAAUGGGGGAUAGCCCGGCGAAAGCCGGAUUAAUACCGCAUAUGCUCUACGGAGGAAAGCCGGGGAUUCGCAAGGACCUGGCGUUAUGGGAGCGGCCGAUGUCCGAUUAGCUAGUUGGUGAGGUAAAGGCUCACCAAGGCGACGAUCGGUAGCUGGUCUGAGAGGAUGAUCAGCCACACUGGGACUGAGACACGGCCCAGACUCCUACGGGAGGCCAGCAGUGGGGAAUUUUGGACAAUGGGGGCAACCCUGAUCCAGCCAUGCCGCGUGAGUGAAGAAGGCCUUCGGGUUGUAAAGCUCUUUUGUGCGGAAGAUAAUGACGGUACCGCAAGAAUAAGCCCGCUAACUUCGCGCCAGCAGCCGCGGU